GAUUGAUCCACUUAUAAUUAUUUAUGUUAGAGACAAUGAAGAAUAACAUUGUGCUUAACAUUAACAUUGAGUUAGGAGCCUUCACAGCUAACUGGUAGAGUCAACCAACCGUUUCUUUGAGUAUUUCCCUUCAAUUGUAAAACACUUUGGUUUAUGCAGAUCAGUACUAUAAACUAUAAAUUGAAAUGUGGGUUUUCCACCACUUAAUCCUUGAUGCCCACACAGACACACACACACACACAAAGAUUCACCAAACAAAUGCAUUAGCAUUUUUUUUUUAUAUCAACCAUGCUUCUUAUUAAUGAUUUUAAGCAUAAAACCUAACAAUUGACUCACCACAUUAGAAUACUGACAUUACAAUAUUUCGUUAUGAUGGUCUGAGGGGGGAGGGGGGAUUUUAACCUUA